rnacentral:rRNA from 1 species
CCAGCUCCAAUAGCGUAUAUUAAAGUUGUUGCAGUUAAAAAGCUCGUAGUUGAACUUCUGUUCAGGUUCAUUUCGACUCGUCGUGUGAAACUGGACAUACGUUUGCAAACUAAAAUCGGCCUUCACUGGUUCGACUUAGGGAGUAAACAUUUUACUGUGAAAAAAUUAGAGUGUUCCAGGCAGGUUUUAGCCCGAAUACAUUAGCAUGGAAUAAUGGAAUAGGACUAAGUCCAUUUUAUUGGUUCUUGGAUUUGGUAAUGAUUAAUAGGGACAGUUGGGGGCAUUAGUAUUUAAUAGUCAGAGGUGAAAUUCUUGGAUUUAUUAAGGACUAACUAAUGCGAAAGCAUUUGCCAAAGAUGUUUUCA